UCCGGCUUAUCACCGGCAGUCCCAUUAGAGUGCCCGGCAUAACCCGCUGGUAACUAGGGACGAGGGUUGCGCUCGUUGCGGGACUUAACCCAACAUCUCACGACACGAGCUGACGACAGCCAUGCACCACCUGUGAAGGUGCCCCGAAGGGAGACCGUGUUUCCACGGCUGUCACCUACAUGUCAAGCCCAGGUAAGGUUCUUCGCGUUGCGUCGAAUUGAACCACAUGCUCCGCUGCUUGUGCGGGUCCCCGUCAAUUCCUUUGAGUUUUAACCUUGCGGCCGUACUCCCCAGGCGGUCAACUUCACGCGUUAGCUUCGUUACCAAGGGAAUCAAUCCCCCGACAACCAGUUGACAUAGUUUAGGGCGUGGACUAC
rnacentral:misc_RNA from 1 species